rnacentral:lncRNA from 1 species
UCAGUCCGAGUGGCCAGGGCUGCUGCCCUCCAAGUUGGAGGGCAGCAGUUCGAACCCCCACAAAAGCAUUGUGGGGGUAUUUCCUUCCUCAAUUAAUUUGAGUGAAGGUAGUCUUCUCCCUUACCCAUGAGUGAGGAAUAGACAUCCCUCGAAUAUUUGUGAGGGUUAAAAUAUGGGCAGAGCUCCAUUAGCAUUGAUGUAUGUUGGUCCCAGUAAUAGUCUGAUUUGUAAAUAUCAGUUAUAGUCUC